GUCGAGAAUCUUUCACAAUGGGGGCAACCCUGAUGGAGCGACGCCGCGUGGAGGAUAAGGUCUUCGGAUUGUAAACUCCUGUCAUGCGUGAACAAGGUUGCUUGGUUAAUACCUGGGCAAAUUGAUGGUAACGCAAGAGGAAGAGACGGCUAACUCUGUGCCAGCAGCCGCGGUAAUACAGAGGUCUCAAGCGUUGUUCGGAAUCACUGGGCGUAAAGGGUGCGUAGGUGGCGUGGUAAGUCAGAUGGGAAAGCCCGGGGCUCAACCUCGGAACUGCAUCCGAUACUGCCAUGCUAGAGUACUGGAGAGGUGACUAGAAUUCUCGGUGUAGCAGUGAAAUGCGUAGAUAUCGAGAGGAAUACCAAAGGCGUAGGCAGGUCACUGGACAGUUACUGACACUGAGGCACGAAGGCCAGGGGAGCGAACGGGAUUAGAUACCCUUGUAGUCC
rnacentral:rRNA from 1 species